GUCCAACCUGCCCAGUGAAUUAAUUUUAACGGCCGCGGUAUCCUAACCGUGCAAAGGUAGCAUAAUCACUUGUCCCCUAAUUAGAGACUUGUAUGAACGGUUACAUGAGGGCCUAACUGUCUCCUGUGGCAAAUCAAUGAAAUUGAUCUUACAGUACAAACGCUGUAAUAUGCAUAUAGGACGAGAAGACCCUGUGGAGCUUUAAAUUUUACAUUAAAUAUAUUAUAAAUUUUAAACCAACAUUAAUGUUAAUUUUAAGUUGGGGCGACUAUGGAGUAAAACGAACCCUCCAUGAAAUACGACUAAAUUUCGUCAUACUAGGUUAACAGACCAAACAAAACACACGACCCAGUCAAACUGAUCAUCGAACCAAGUUACCCCAGGGAUAACAGCGCCAUCCCCUUAAAGAGUCCACAUCGACAAGGGGGUUUACGACCUCGAUGUUGGAUCAGGACAUCCAAGUGGUGCAACAGCUACUAAGGGUUCGUUUGUUCAACGAG
rnacentral:rRNA from 1 species